rnacentral:rRNA from 1 species
GAUGAACGCUGGCGGCGUGCUUAACACAUGCAAGUCGAGCGAAGCACUUUAAAGGAAGUUUUCGGAUGGAAUUUAAAAUGACUGAGCGGCGGACGGGUGAGUAACGCGUGGGUAACCUGCCUCAUACAGGGGGAUAACAGUUAGAAAUGACUGCUAAUACCGCAUAAGCGCACAGUGCUGCAUAGCACAGUGUGAAAAACUCCGGUGGUAUGAGAUGGACCCGCGUCUGAUUAGGUAGUUGGUGAGGUAACGGCCCACCAAGCCGACGAUCAGUAGCCGACCUGAGAGGGUGACCGGCCACAUUGGGACUGAGACACGGCCCAAACUCCUACGGGAGGCAGCAGUGGGGAAUAUUGGACAAUGGGGGAAACCCUGAUCCAGCGACGCCGCGUGAGUGAAGAAGUGUUUCGGCAUGUAAAGCUCUAUCAGCAGGGAAGAAAAUGACGGUACCUGACUAAGAAGCCCCGGCUAACUACGUGCCAGCCGCCGCCGUAA